rnacentral:misc_RNA from 1 species
GCAGCUACAACACGCUUUAACGAAACCAUCCCGUCACUAGUGCGGACACGAACCGCGGUAUAACGAGGUCACAGUUACCAUUCCAUCGGUUACGGGAGGGGAGCUCUCCAUGCUGAAAAGGUAGCAUUUGUUGAAAGGGGAUCCGGCGGUGUUUAACACGUCCAUAUAUGGGCAGGGUACUCUCGUUUGGCCUAUUUCUUACCAAUUUGGAAAUGCACGCGAGGCUUGGCGAAAAUAAAGCUCCCGUUGCCAUGGAGAUGGCAAGGGUUUGGGGGCACAUUACUUUAGAUAGAAUCGGAAAAGUUUGUGUUGUGGGGUUCAAGCUAACUUCAUGCGUGUCGACUCGUAUUCUGAAGUUGGGAGCAGUUAAUUUGGAUAUGUCGGGCAUCUGAAGAAAUUCUUGUGUUUCACCACAAAAUGCUAGAGGAUACUUGGAGAACGGAAGGAUGUGUUUGAAGUUUGGCCUGGGAUUAUACUGAGAGUUUGACCAUGUCUCACAGGCGGAAAAGUGCUAGACCUACGAAUAAGCACUGGCGAAAUGGACCGCACACCUAUGAUCACUCUCCUACACAGUCGGCGUGCGAGGACGAGGGUGAGGACAGGUCCUCUCCAGCCCCCCACCCGGGACAGGCCAUCGAGAUACCCUCCGACAUCUUCAAGGACUUUGAGCAGCUGAAACACGUCACGAACCUGGACACCACCACCCUCAUGAGGAACCUCCUCAACGACUACCACAGAUUGCCAGCACGGUCGUCAUGGCACCGGCCUCACGUGGAGGAGGUGCAGACGGAGAGUCCAGCGUCACCAGUUGUCGACGACAAGCAAGUGAUGAAAGACUCCUCCGAGAGGAGUAUGUUUGACCUGGAGAUGAAUCACAGUUCUCCACUCGUGGACAGUGGCUUUAUAGAUCAUGGUUGUGACAGCCCUCUUGGAUCUGGGACAGAUCAACCCUUGGACCUGUCAGUUGUUGUGAAGUCGGAAAGGUCAACUCCAGAUGACGGCAUAGGCCAAGACAAGAAGACCUUUGCUGGACAGCUACAGAUGAAGCUAAUUGGAGGAGAGAGGGGUACAGCUUCUCCCACAGUGUCGGCUGCGCCUUGUGUGAUGAUGACAUCACCGGUAAUGACAUCUGACGUCAUCAUGUCCCACGUGUCCGGUCAAGGGGGGCUGGUAAUGACCUCUGCAAUGCCGAACCAGUGCAGGGUCGUGAUGUCGUCUGCCGUCCCUGGCACAGGAACCUUUUCCUUGAGCGGUGACAAGAACGAGUGUAACAUCAUGAUGCCGAUGCAGAUGUCAAUGCAGCUGCCGACAGUCACCAACGUCGAGGGAGGUCAAGGGGUUAUGACGAGCAACAUCAAUGUGGAAACAAGCAGUGGUCAGCAGAUAGUAGCCAUCCCCAUCCUCCAGACAGUGCCGGUCCAAGUCCAUGCUGCUCCAAAGUCUCAGCCCCAGCAACCUCCGCCUCCUCAGCCACAGCCACAGCUUCAGCAGUUUCAACUGCAACAGCAACCCCAGCAACCUCAACCACAACCACACGUCCCUGCCAGGAGAGGUAGAAAACCAGGAUCAGUCAACAAAGGAACUAAGGCAUCCAAACCAGCGAGGUCAAAUGAAAUGAAAGUUGUUGCUGAGAACACAAUGUUUCCUGGAGUGUAUACAAGUAUUCUCAAGCUUCCCUGGAGCCGUCGAUCUCGAACCAAGGCUCAUCUUCCAACCCCUCCAGUGCCCCCUCCAACACAACCCUCCAUGACGCUUCUGCCAGUUACGUCAUCACAGGAAUUAGCAACGUCUUCAGCACCAGCAGCUUCAGCAUCUCAUUCACCCUCUACGACACAGUCUGUGAUGAUGGUGUACCCUAAUGCUACGAUAUCUGCUUUAGGUAAGCCAGUCAGAAAGAGGGGCCGACCUCCCAAGCUUCCAGUCCUUUCCCACCUUCUUGCGGAGAAGAAGCCCAAGAAGGACACUCUAUAUACACCAGUAGCAACAACCCUUCCUAGCCAGUCCGCCUCCAUAUCCGCCGAUGGAUCAAUGUUGUCAAUACUCAGUACUCACAGUAUUGGAGCGGACACUUCAAAUGAAGAUGAUAAAUUAAAAAAACUUCAAACUGUAUCUGAAACCCAGGAUUCAAAGACCUUUCAGUUGGACACGCCAGACCAAUUCCCCACCCCAGCAUCUCAGCACCUUGAAACAUCAGACCAAGGAACUGCGACAACUAAAGGAUCAAACGGUGCGAUGUUUCAAGAGAUGCUGCUGUCUUCUAAGUCACUGAUCAACAUCAAACCAAGAAAGCGACAAUCGAGCAACCUUUUAAAAUCAGGUGAAAACUUCAUAUGUACAUCUUUCAGAAUAAGACCCAGAGGGUCAAGACACAAAGCUCCUUCAGCUUCCCCAAAGACUGCUCCUGAACAACCUACAUCUGAUCCUGACCCAGCCCCACCGAUCACCACUCCAGACAUGAACCACACAUCGCCAGAACCCCUGGAAAGGGUGACCGUGUCGCCCACCUCGACAGUAGAUGACUCCCCUCUGUCCAAGAAUAUGUUCCACGAACUGUACCACUGUAAGGUAUGCAACGAGAUAGUCCCAGCAGAUGAGAAACAGACUCACAAACAGCAGCAUGUUCCGGUCAAGUUCUUCUGCUUGACCUGCGGCUUGGAAUACUACAGUUUCCUUCAGGGCAAAGCCGGGGAGGACCCGGAUGCUCCUCAGAGCUUUCAGUGCGAGCGAUGCAGUGAGAACUACAACAGUAACCUCCCCUUGAACAGUGGCCUUCACCUUAAAACGGAGUCAUUACAAUGUGAUCUUUGUGACGAACAUUUGAAAUCUUUCUCCGAUCUCUGCGAACAUAGGAGAGAAGUACAUGGCGAUGAGAAGAGGGGGAUAGAUCAGUAUCGCUGUGACGAAUGCAGUAAGGUGUUUUUUACGGAGAAGAGUCUCGAUGCUCAUAAAGAAACCCAUGGAGAGAAAGAAGGAGAGUAUUGUGAGGACGAAAUGAAUCCGGAAGAACUGGAACUAGCGAAAGAGUUUUCUAGUAAGAAGGAAUACACCUGUGUGUAUGAUGGCUGCAAGAAGAAGUUCAUGAAGAAAUUUCAUCUCCAAGAACAUAUUCGUGUGAAACAUUUCAACAUCCGGGCAUACCGGUGCUCAUGGCCCGGAUGUUAUAAGGAGUUUGCGGCUGAGCGGCAUCUUAAGGUACACUUGCUGAUUCACAAGGAUGAGAAACCGCUAAAGUGUGACUUCUGUGACUAUAGAUGUCGCCAGCGAAAUGCCAUGAACUGGCACAUGCGCAAACACCCGGAAGCUCCUUACAGAUACCGGAAGUUUGGAAUGCUUUCCGGAUGUGAUGACUGAGGGCUUUUGACCUCUGUGACCUGGUGUCCUAGGUGAUCAUAUAAACAAUGUGAAUUCUGCCGAAACAUUUUUGCGAACAUACCUGUGAUCAAAUUAUAUGACCAAAACUAUGUUGUGUUUCAAAACAGUCGUAAGGUAUGAGGUGUCAUUUGGUGUGAAAUACUCUCGGGUGUUAUAUAUUUCGCUGGAUGCCAUUGUGAAAUCAUUUCUCACUUCAGUAUGUGAAAUAGCACAGGUAACUGCUCUAACAUUAAUUACCAGAUUCCAUUUUUGUUGCAUUUCAAAGAAUUGUCUGGAAGUGAUUUCAUUACAUUUGAUUUUAGAAAAGGAAAAAUAUUUUUUAAGAAGUCAGGAUUAACGCAAUCUAAGUUACACUCCAUGUUUGAUGAUAUUCCUCGUGGAAUCAAGAACAAACAUCUGGAUUUCUAAGGGUUAAUGAUCUCUUCACCUCAAGCAGGGGGCUGGAAACAGUUUCUCACUUUCUCAUACUCCCCUAAUAUAGGAAUUGGUUAUAUUAUAGAUCUCAUGUGCGUAUGGGCGUGUGCGUGUUUGUGUGAAUGCGUGCGUAUGUGGGCGUGCGUGCGUGCGUUCGUGUGUGUAAAUGUGCAAUACCCUCCAUUAUGUAACUACAUGUAUCACACAAUAUCGAAGUUCCCGGUACAAUGAGGUGUUGUGCACUAAUACUGUCAACAUAUUAAAUACUGUUAACAUUUUUACUUAAAUAGAUCCACUGAACUCAAACCAAUACCAUGUUCGAAUGUAUAUUACAUGUAAUCCUAAACCUCAGUCCAUGAUAUCCCCUGACAAAUGGUAAUCUUGUCUGCCGUCCAUGACAUCCCCGACAAAAGGUGAGCUUAUCUUCCGUCAAUGACAUCCCCGACAAAUGGUGAGCUU